UACGGAGGUCCCGAGCGUUGUUCGGAAUCACUGGGCGUAAAGGGAGCGUAGGCGGCGCGGUAAGUCAGAUGUGAAAUCCCGGGGCUCAACCGCGGAACUGCAUCCGAUACUGCCGUGCUAGAGUAUUGGAGAGGUAGCUGGAAUUCUUGGUGUAGCGGUGAAAUGCGUAGAGAUCACGAGGAACACUCGUGGCGAAGGCGAGCUACUGGACAAUUCCUGACGCUGAGGCUCGAAGGCUAGGGUAGCGAAAGGG
rnacentral:rRNA from 1 species